rfam:Toxocara canis scaffold1073, whole genome shotgun sequence.
AGGGCAGUAGCUCAGUGGCCGAGCUUCCGCUUGAUAUGCGGGAAGACCUGGGUUCGAUUUCCGGCUGCUUAC